rnacentral:rRNA from 1 species
UACGUACGAGGCGAGCGUUAUCCGGAAAUUACUGGGCGUAAAGCGCGCGCAGGCGGAUGCUUAAGUAGGGCGUGAAAAUCUCCCGGCCUAACUGGGAGGGUCGCUCUAGACUGGGCGUCUUGAGGACAGCAGAGGUGGGUGGAAUUCCUGGUGUAGUGGUGAAAUGCGUAGAGAUCAGGAGGAACACCGGUGGCGAAGGCGGCCCACUGGGCUGUCACUGGACGCUGAGGCGCGAAAGCGUGGGGAGCAAACAGGAAUAGAACCCUAGGUAGUCCAAGACCGAUGUA